rnacentral:rRNA from 1 species
CCUACGGGUGGCAGCAGUGGGGGAGAUUGCACAAUGGGGGAAACCCUGAUGCAGCGACGCCGCGUGGGGGAAGACGGUCCUCUGGAGUGUAAACCACUGUCCCCAGGGACGAAGAUGACGGUACCAGGGGAGGAAGCGCCGGCUAACUAAGUGCCAGCAGCCGCGGUAAGACGGAGGGAGCGAGCGUUGUCCGGAAUGACGGGGUGGAAAGGGAGCGGAGGCGGGACUGCAAGUUGGGUGUCAAAUCGACCGGCUCCACCGGUAGCCGCACUCAAAACUGCAGUUCUUGCGUGAAGUAGCGGCAGGCGGCAUUCCUCUUGUAGCGGUGAACUGCGUCGAUAUUAGGAG